UACGAGAGGCCCGAGCGUUAAUCGGAAUCACUGGGCUUAAAGGGUGCGUAGGCGGAGCCGCAAGUGUCCUGUGAAAUCCCCCGUCUCAAUCGGGGAAUGGCGGGGCAUACUGCGGUUCUUGAGGCGGGUAGGGGUUGUCGGAACGCUCGGUGGAGCGGUGAAAUGCGUAGAUAUCGAGCGGAACGCCGAUGGUGAAAACAGACAACUGGGCCCGUCCUGACGCUGAGGCACGAAAGCGUGGGGAGCAAACAGG
rnacentral:rRNA from 1 species